UACGUAGGGGGCAAGCGUUGUCCGGAUUUAUUGGGCGUAAAGAGCGUGUAGGCGGCCAGGUAGGUGGGUUGUGAAAACUGGAGGCUCAACCUUCAGAGGUCGACCCAAACCCCCUGGCUAGAGUCCGGAAGAGGAGAGUGGAAUUCCGUGGUGUAGCGGUGAAAUGCGCAGAUAUCAGGAAGAACACCCGUGGCGAAGGCGGCUCUCUGGGACGGUACUGACGCUGAGACGCGAAAGCGUGGGGAGCGAACAGG
rnacentral:rRNA from 1 species